ACAGCAGUAGCCGCGGUAAUACGUAGGGCGCAAGCGUUGUCCGGAUUUACUGGGCGUAAAGCGUGCGUAGGCGGCUUUUUAAGUCGGAUGUGAAAUCCCUGAGCUUAACUUAGGAAUUGCAUUCGAUACUGGGAAGCUAGAGUAUGGGAGAGGAUGGUAGAAUUCCAGGUGUAGCGGUGAAAUGCGUAGAGAUCUGGAGGAAUACCGAUGGCGAAGGCAGCCAUCUGGCCUAAUACUGACGCUGAGGUACGAAAGCAUGGGGAGCAAACAGGAUUAGAUACCCCGGUAGUCCCUGUCUCUUAUAC
rnacentral:rRNA from 1 species